rnacentral:rRNA from 1 species
AUGGCUAGCCCGCAGUGCUGCGCGGACCCGGCGACGCUCAACCCCGCCGGCGGGGAGGGCAGGGUCGUCGACAGCCUCGGCGGGAUCGCGGCGUACGUCGCCGGCGUCCGAGAGUCCAAGGCCGCCGUCGUCCUCAUCUCCGACAUCUUCGGGUUUGAAGCGCCGAUUCUGAGCUAUACGAAGAUAGCCGAUAAAGUUGCUUCGUCGGGAUAUUUUGUUGUGGUGCCAGAUUUCUUACAUGGGGAUCCAUUUGUACCUGAAAACGCUGACAGACCAAUACAAGUGUGGAUCAAGGAACAUGCCACGGGAAAAGCAUUUGAAGAGGCAAAACCUGUUAUUGCUGCUCUAAAAGAACAAGGAGUGUCUACUGUCGGGGCUGCAGGUUAUUGCUGGGGUGCAAAGGUAGUUGCAGAGUUAGCGAAAGCUAAUGAGAUCCAGGCAGCUGUUAUGUUGCACCCUUCUGCUGUUACUGUUGACGAUAUCAAAGAGGUGAAAUGCCCCAUCGCUGUACUUGGAGCUGAAAAUGACAAAACAUCCCCACCAGAAUUGGUCAAACAGUUCGAGCAGGUUCUAUCUUCUAACACAGGGAUUGCUCACUUUGUCAAGAUUUUCCCUGGGGUUUCUCAUGGAUGGGCUGUGAGAUACAAAAGUGAAGAUGCAGGCGCUGUGAAGAGCGCCGAGGAAGCCCUGUCAGACAUGAUUGACUGGUUUAACAAGAACCUAAAGUGA